rnacentral:rRNA from 1 species
GACGAACGCUGGCGGCGUGCCUAAUACAUGCAAGUCGAGCGAAUCUUUUGGGAGCUUGCUCCCUUAAGAUUAGCGGCGGACGGGUGAGUAACACGUGGGUAACCUGCCUGUAAGACUGGGAUAACUUCGGGAAACCGGAGCUAAUACCGGAUACUUUCUUUUCUCGCAUGAGGGAAGAUGGAAAGAUGGUUCUGCUAUCACUUACAGAUGGACCCGCGGCGCAUUAGCUAGUUGGUGAGGUAACGGCUCACCAAGGCAACGAUGCGUAGCCGACCUGAGAGGGUGAUCGGCCACACUGGGACUGAGACACGGCCCAGACUCCUACGGGAGGCAGCAGUAGGGAAUCUUCCGCAAUGGACGAAAGUCUGACGGAGCAACGCCGCGUGAGCGAAGAAGGCCUUCGGGUCGUAAAGCUCUGUUGUUAGGGAAGAACAAGUACGAGAGUAACUGCUCGUACCUUGACGGUACCUAACCAGAAAGCCACGGCUAACUACGUGCCAGCAGCCGCCGUAAGAC